rnacentral:rRNA from 1 species
UACGAAGGGUGCAAACGUUGCUCGGAAUUAUUGGGCGUAAAGCGCACGUAGGCGGUAUGGCAAGUCGAUGUGAAAUCCCUCGGCUUAACCAAGGAAGUGCAUCCGAAACUGCUGUACUUGAGUACGAAAGAGGAUCGCGGAAUUCCCGGUGUAGAGGUGAAAAUUCGUAGAUAUCGAGAGGAACACCUGCGGCGAAGGCGGGUUGCUGGGCCGACACUGACGCUGAUGCGCGAAAGCCAGGGGAGCGAACGGG